rnacentral:lncRNA from 1 species
GUGAGGUAGAGAGGUAUAAAUAUCAGGAGCAUUUUUUUAACUUAAAUCCACUGAAUGAGUAAUGUCUGCCAGGAUUCUUGGCUUUCUGUUUUACUUUUUAAUAUAGCAUUUUAGUCUUUAGUCCAUAUUUACUCAAAUAAGCAAAAGGUGACAAAAACUGGCUACUCUUUUUUCUAACAUUGAAUACUAUUAAAAAAUUAUUGAGAGCUUUGGUCUUACAUGUCAAAUGACAAAGGAGAACUG